rnacentral:rRNA from 1 species
CCUACGGGGGGCAGCAGUAGGGAAUAUUGCUCAAUGGGGGAAACCCUGAAGCAGCAACGCCGCGUGGAGGAUGAAGGUUUUCGGAUUGUAAACUCCUUUUGUUAGAGAAGAUAAUGACGGUAUCUAACGAAUAAGCACCGGCUACCUCCGUGCCAGGAGCCGCGGUAAUACGGAGGGAGCAAGCGUUACUCGGAACCACUGGGCGUAAAGAGCGCGUAGGCGGGAUAGCAAGUCAGAUGUGAAAUCCUAUGGCUUAACCAUAGAACUGCAGUUGAAACUGUUAUUCUAGAGUAUGGGAGAGGUAGGUGGAAUUCGUGGUGUAGGGGUAAAAUGCGUAGAGAUCAAGAGGAAUACUCAUUGCGAAGGCGACCUGCUAGAACCUAACUGACGCUGAUGCGCGAAAGCGUGGGGAGCAAACAGGAUUAGAUACCCUGGUAGUC